UUAAAUGUCCUGCUACCUUCAAUAUCACGAGUUGUUAGUAGACUAUCCACUCAAUUCAGGUCCAUCAGGCUGCCCUCAAGGUCCUGCUAGGCUACCCUCAAUACCUGAGGUCCUGCCAGGCUACCCCUGAGGUCCUGCUUGGCCACCCUCACAAUUCUAGGUCCAUCAGGCUGCCCUCAAGGUCCUGCUAGGCUACCCUCAAUACCUGAGGUCCUGUCAGGCUACCCCUGAGGUCCUGCUUGGCCACCUUAGCUACACCGGGUCUUUCAGGCUACCCUCAAGGUCCUGCCAGGCUACCCUCAAUACCAGAGGUCCUGCUAGUCUACCCCUGAGGUCCUGCUAAGCCCACAACUUUCAUCUAUUUUUCCUUUUUCAUUAACCAUAACAACGUCUACAUAAUUUCUCAUUGAAAUCCACCACGCGAACCCAAGUCCGAUCCAACAAAUACAACAAUCAUGAAUCCAUAAUAACGUAAUCAAUAAACAUGAUACGUUUCUACGUGAAAGCCAACAUAACAAUUGAUAUUGUGCAAAUAAGUAAAACAUAUAGCGUUUUAUGAUUGGGCCGAUGCCCUUA